UGUCUUCUACACACAUCAAACACUUCCUCUUUAUAUCCUGCGCGCAGUUCGAUCUUCCACAGCUUUGGCUAAAGACUAAUUAAUUAAAGUUCAGAUAAACUUUGCACUAUUUUUUCUUCCUUUAAACUUUUUGAGGAAGUAAAAAAAAGGCAAGGUGGAGAGUGAAGAUGAUUGCUGCAUGUUAAUUUUCCCUAUGGUAAAACUCAGUUAAAUAGAAAUUUGAUCUGGGAAAAGGAAAAGAAUUAAACUUUUGAGUACGUCUUUUUUCUUUUCCUUCAUUUUCUUACCUACAAAAAGGAUAAAUUAAUGUUAUAUAUGAUCGUUUUGCCUACUUCUUUACCUACUAAAUUUGUAACUUUUGGGAUGAUUUGUGAAUAUUUUUUUUGGUAAAUUUAAUAGCUAUGUGUUUGGAUUGAUAUUUAUAUGGGCUGGUAAAUUUAACAAAUUAUUAUAUUUGUUCUAAAACAAGUCAAAUAAUAAGACUUUAAUUUUACUAAACAGUUUUCACUGAUAUAUACUCGAUGAUUUAGUGCGUAACAGAAGAGUGCAGCAGCAGUCUAAACUCUGUCAUUCAGAGGCGCGAUAACAGAACAAGUUUUGCUAGGCAAGGGUCCAGUUCACAAGCUUAUUUCAUGAGGCAGGUUUAUUUCAACAGAAGAGGUGCUUAAAUCUUUUAGACCAUACCUUGCACUUUAUACUUCCUCUAUUAUGUAAAAAGUGGUACAAUAAUAUGAGCUUCUAAAAUAAAACAAAAACACAUUUUUAAUACAUGUAAAUUUAGCAAAUGAGAAUUUCUUUUUGACACGAUUGAUUCAUUGAACACUAGUUUCCCUACGCCUUACUUUACUUUCAAGCUCCUCUGCUCUGCUUUGGUAUUUGAAGUUUGAAAUGGAGAGGAUCUUUGUCCCAACAGAGGAGGGGGAAUGAGUGGAAAAGAUAUAUUCGGCUCCGAGAAGCCUUUUGGUAAAUAAAUUUUAUCUUCUUAAUUACAUCAAACUAAUAAAUUUAGUUCUAAAAUUAGAUAUACAACCAUUUUUUUUCAAAUACUCGUAACAUUACUCAAUCUCUCUAGCUAAAACACAAUCAACGAUAUAUUACGAACUUCAUUUCGCUUUAUGUCUGGCUAAAAAUAAAAAAGUGCAUCUCGGAGGAUGCAUAAACUAAGAACCAUACAGAACAAAAAUAAUGUUGUUACAACUAUAAUAAGUGUUCAAUAUAACUAGGCUAAUUGUGUAUUUGUUCUUCAUAUUCUUAAUGAAUGCAUGUGUCAUACAAUUUAUUAUAUUUUGGUGCAUCUAUUCUGUGUGAGAUAGAGAUAUGGGAACAAAGAAGGAAUUCAAUUUUGAAAGAGAGUGGCAUAGAGUAGGUGAUUCCAAGUAUCAGGAACUCCAGGAAGACACCAAUGGCUACAGU
rnacentral:lncRNA from 1 species